rnacentral:rRNA from 1 species
GCUUAGAAGCAGCCAUCAUUUAAAGAAAGCGUAAUAGCUCACUGGUCGAGUCGGCCUGCGCGGAAGAUGUAACGGGGCUAAACCAUGCACCGAAGCUGCGGCAGCGACACUGUGUGUUGUUGGGUAGGGGAGCGUUCUGUAAGCCUGCGAAGGUGGCCUGUGAGGGUUGCUGGAGGUAUCAGAAGUGCGAAUGCUGACAUAAGUAACGAUAAAGCGGGUGAAAAGCCCGCUCGCCGGAAGACCAAGGGUUCCUGUCCAACGUUAAUCGGGGCAGGGUGAGUCGACCCCUAAGGCGAGGCCGAAAGGCGUAGUCGAUGGGAAACGGGUUAAUAUUCCCGUACUUGGUGUUACUGCGAAGGGGGGACGGAGAAGGCUAUGUUGGCCGGGCGACGGUUGUCCCGGUUUAAGCGUGUAGGUGUGUGUUCCAGGUAAAUCCGGUUCACUUUAACACUGAGGCGUGACGACGAGGCACUACGGUGCUGAAGCAACAAAUGCCCUGCUUCCAGGAAAAGCCUCUAAGCAUCAGGUAACAUCAAAUCGUACCCCAAACCGACACAGGUGGUCAGGUAGAGAAUACCAAGGCGCUUGAGAGAACUCGGGUGAAGGAACUAGGCAAAAUGGUGCCGUAACUUCGGGAGAAGGCAC